GAUGAACGCUGGCGGCGUGCCUAAUACAUGCAAGUCGAGCGAACGGACGAGAAGCUUGCUUCUCUGAUGCUAGCGGCGGACGGGUGAGUAACACGUGGAUAACCUACCUAUAAGACUGGGAUAACUUCGGGAAACCGGAGCUAAUACCGGAUAAUAUUUUGAACCGCAUGGUUCAAAAGUGAAAGACGGUCUUGCUGUCACUUAUAGAUGGAUCCGCGCUGCAUUAGCUAGUUGGUAAGGUAACGGCUUACCAAGGCAACGAUGCAUAGCCGACCUGAGAGGGUGAUCGGCCACACUGGAACUGAGACACGGUCCAGACUCCUACGGGAGGCAGCAGUAGGGAAUCUUCCGCAAUGGGCGAAAGCCUGACGGAGCAACGCCGCGUGAGUGAUGAAGGUCUUCGGAUCGUAAAACUCUGUUAUUAGGGAAGAACAUAUGUGUAAGUAACUGUGCACAUCUUGACGGUACCUAAUCAGAAAGCCACGGCUAAUUACGUGCCAGCAGCCGCGGUAAUACGUAGGUGGCAAGCGUUAUCCGGAAUUAUUGGGCGUAAAGCGCGCGUAGGCGGUUUUUUAAGUCUGAUGUGAAAGCCCACGGCUCAACCGUGGAGGGUCAUUGGAAACUGGAAAACUUGAGUGCAGAAGGGGAAAGUGGAAUUCCAUGUGUAGCGGUGAAAUGCGCAGAGAUAUGGAGGAACACCAGUGGCGAAGGCGACUUUCUGGUCUGUAACUGACGCUGAUGUGCGAAAGCGUGGGGAUCAAACAGGAUUAGAUACCCUGGUAGUCCACGCCGUAAACGAUGAGUGCUAAGUGUUAGGGGGUUUCCGCCCCUUAGUGCUGCAGCUAACGCAUUAAGCACUCCGCCUGGGGAGUACGACCGCAAGGUUGAAACUCAAAGGAAUUGACGGGGACCCGCACAAGCGGUGGAGCAUGUGGUUUAAUUCGAAGCAAUGCGAAGAACCUUACCAAAUCUUGACAUCCUUUGACAACUCUAGAGAUAGAGCCUUCCCCUUCGGGGGGGCAAAGUGACAGGUGGUGCAUGGUUGUCGUCAGCUCGUGUCGUGAGAUGUUGGGUUAAGUCCCGCAACGAGCGCAACCCUUAAGCUUAGUUGCCAUCAUUAAGUUGGGCACUCUAAGUUGACUGCCGGUGACAAACCGGAGGAAGGUGGGGAUGACGUCAAAUCAUCAUGCCCCUUAUGAUUUGGGCUACACACGUGCUACAAUGGACAAUACAAAGGGCAGCGAAACCGCGAGGUCAAGCAAAUCCCAUAAAGUUGUUCUCAGUUCGGAUUGUAGUCUGCAACUCGACUACAUGAAGCUGGAAUCGCUAGUAAUCGUAGAUCAGCAUGCUACGGUGAAUACGUUCCCGGGUCU
rnacentral:rRNA from 1 species